AAGUCCGACACCGAGACCACAACGAAAACUCUAUCAGUCAACAGCUGAGAGAAUCAUAAGUCUACAAGACAACUGCUCCAACAGCAACACAGAGCCAAACUCAGAGUAAACAAUGGAAGGCCUCCUGCAACAACUGGAAGUCUCAGAGUUAAAGAAUGUGAAGCUGUCGCUGGAGAACAAAGCUCUUAAGGUGCUGAUGAACAGCAAGAACAGCAAAUGGAAUAAGGACAAGACACGGAUGCAGGCUGGGAUUGCGUCAUUGGAGAGUAAAUUGAAGAAUGCCAAGGUGGUACAGAGAGGACUAGAGUCCAAGCUGAGGGAAAUGAACAAGAGGUUGAUCGUGAAGGACAAAGAUAUACAGUUCCUAAACAAUCCCCCCGAAGAGCCACAGGCUGUCAUUCAGAGGAUAACAGAGGAGUUACGUGAGUACAAGCAGAAGGUUGAGGAUGUCGACAGGGAAAAAGAUGAAGUAAUUGCCACUUUCCAAAGUGAAAAGACCGCGCUGGUCGAUAAGAAAGAUGAGCUCACGGAAAAACUGACGGCCAUGCAGACUCAGAUCCAUCAGCUUAAGUCUGACUGGGACCUUAAAGUCAACACUCUGGAGGAUCAGCUCAGGAGUGAGCAGGUGGAGCAAGAGACCUGCCUUAAAAAAAAUCAAGGAGCUGAAGAGUCUGGUUAAAGCCACGGAGAAGAAGUUGCUCAAUUUGCAGGAAGACUCACAAAUCAAAUCUCAGAAGAUGGAUGAGGAUAUCAAGUUCCUAAUUGUGAAGACUAUUAAGCUUCAGGAGCUGGCCCUCAUGUCAGACAGCGACAAGGCCAGAAGAAGAAAGGAUGAAAGAAAAGCUCAGAAGGAGGAAGAAAAGAGACUGAAGAAGGAGCUGAAAGAGAAGAAGGAGCAGGAGAAGAGAGAGAAAAAGCAAAGAGAGAAGGAGGCGAAGAAGGAGAAGAGAAAGACAACUUCUCACCUCCCUUCACCCUGUUAACCCCCUUCACCUCUCCCAUCCUUCCACGCCCCUAAUCCUGUCUCCCAUCCCCUCAUCCCAACUGCCCUCCUCCACUUCCCUACCCCCCCACACAAACUUGUAUGUAUCCUCACUUAAAAAAUAAAAACAAAAAAUAUUAAAAUUAUUGAAAAACGAUUCACACGUCAGCCUGAUGUCCAUUUUGUCAUUUACGGUUCCAUUAAGAGUUAAAUGGACAUCGAACGUCC